CGCAAUGGCCAAAGCUGAGCUGAUCCGAAGUCAGGAGCCAGGAGCUUCUUCCGGGUCUUCCACGCUGGGUGCAGGGGCCCAAGGGCUUGGGCCGUCUUCUACUGCUUUCCCAGGCCAGGGCAGCCGGACAAAAACUGGUGCCCAUAUGGGAUGCUACUACUUAGCCACAGUGCUGGCCCAGUAAAAACUUCUUAAAAAGAAAAAAGAGCAGCAUCCGCCACAAUGUGAUUAAUGAAUCAUCAGCUUUUGCGUGUCCGUCCGUGACAGGAGGUAUCUGACGCUGCCGUGUCCACGUGUCCCCCGUGACAGGAGGUAUCUGACGCUGCCGUGUCCACGUGUCCCCCGUGACAGGAGGUAUCUGACGCUGCCGUGUCCACGUGUCCACCCGUGACAGGAGGUAUCUGACGCUGCCGUGUCCACGUGUCCCCCGUGACAGGAGGUAUCUGACGCUGCCGUGUCCACGUGUCCCCCGUGACAGGAGGUAUCUGACGCUGCCGUGUCCACGUGUCCCCCGUGACAGGAGGUAUCUGACACUGCCGUGUCCACGUGUCCGUCCGGAACAGGAGGUAUCUGACGCUGCCGUGUCCACGUGUCCCCCGUGACAGGAGGUAUCUGACGCUGCCGUGUCCACGUGUCCCCCGUGACAGGAGGUAUCUGACGCUGCCGUGUCCACGUGUCCACCCGUGACAGGAGGUAUCUGACGCUGCCGUGUCCAUGUGUCCACGUGUGACAGGAGGUAUCUGACGCUGCCGUGUCCACGUGUCCCCCGUGACAGGAGGUAUCUGACGCUGCCGUGUCCCCCGUGACAGGAGGUAUCUGACACUGCCGUGUCCACGUGUCCGUCCGGAACAGGAGGUAUCUGACGCUGCCGUGUCCACGUGUCCCCCGUGACAGGAGGUAUCUGACGCUGCCG